CCUACGGGUGGCAGCAGUAGGGAAUAUUGCUCAAUGGGGGAAACCCGGAAGCAGCAACGCCGCGGGGAGGAUGAAGGUGUUAGGAUUGUAAACUCCUUUUGGUAGAGAAGAGGAUGACGGUAUCUAACGAAUAAGCACCGGCUAACUCCGUGCCAGCAGCCGCGGUAAUACGGAGGGUGCAAGCGUUACUCGGAAUCACUGGGUGUAAAGAGUGCGUAGGCGGGGGAAUAAGUCAGAUGUGAAAUCCUGUAGCUUAACUACAGAACUGCAUUUGAAACUGUUACUCUGGAGUGUGGGAGAGGUCGGUGGUAUUCUUGGUGUAGGGGUCCAAUCCGUAGAGAUC
rnacentral:rRNA from 1 species